rnacentral:rRNA from 1 species
GAUGAACGCUGGCGGCGUGCCUAAUACAUGCAAGUCGAGCGAACAGACGAGGAGCUUGCUCCUCUGACGUUAGCGGCGGACGGGUGAGUAACACGUGGAUAACCUACCUAUAAGACUGGGAUAACUUCGGGAAACCGGAGCUAAUACCGGAUAAUAUAUUGAACCGCAUGGUUCAAUAGUGAAAGACGGUUUUGCUGUCACUUAUAGAUGGAUCCGCGCCGCAUUAGCUAGUUGGUAAGGUAACGGCUUACCAAGGCGACGAUGCGUAGCCGACCUGAGAGGGUGAUCGGCCAAACUGGAACUGGGACACGGUCCAGACUCCUACGGGAGGCAGCAGUAGGGAAUCUUCCGCAAUGGGCGAAAGCCUGACGGAGCAACGCCGCGUGAGUGAUGAAGGUCUUCGGAUCGUAAAACUCUGUUAUUAGGGAAGAACAAAUGUGUAAGUAACUAUGCACGUCUUGACGGUACCUAAUCAGAAAGCCACGGCUAACUACGUG